CCUACGGGAGGCUGCAGUCGAGAAUUAUUCACAAUGGGGGAAACCCUGAUGGUGCGACGCCGCGUGGGGGAAUGAAGGUCUUCGGAUUGUAAACCCCUGUCAUGUGGGAGCAAAUUAAAAAGAUAGUACCACAAGAGGAAGAGACGGCUAACUCUGUGCCAGCAGCCGCGGUAAUACAGAGGUCUCAAGCGUUGUUCGGAAUCACUGGGCGUAAGGCGUGCGUAGGCUGUUUCGUAAGUCGUGUGUGAAAGGCGCGGGCUCAACCCGCGGACGGCACAUGAUACUGCGAGACUAGAGUAAUGGAGGGGGAACCGGAAUGCUCGGUGUAGCAGUGAAAUGCGUAGAUAUCGAGAGGAACACUCGUGGCGAAGGCGGGUUCCUGGACAUUAACUGACGCUGAGGCACGAAGGCCAGGGGAGCGAAAGGGAUUAGAUACCCGGGUAGUC
rnacentral:rRNA from 1 species